CCUUCUAGUAUAUCUAAAUCACAAAUUCACCAUACACAUCCUCCCCUCAUUUCCAGCAUCAUCUGCCACCACCGACUUCCCCGUCUUUGGCCAUAUCUUCACGUUCAUCAUUUGUCUGACACCUCUAGUUUUCCGUCCACCACGAUAAAUCCCUCAUCGUUCCUUAUAUGUCCUCCCUACACCAUCGAUUACCAGAAAACUCGAACAACAAUGGCCACCACUAUGAGACUAUCUCCAUCCAAGCCAACGACCACCGUUUGUUGAGACUCAAUCUUCAUCGAACCCAAUACCCACCACUGCUUAGACUCCAUCUCUACUGAACCCAGAUUUGAACACCUCAGAUCUUCAUUGGGUUUGUGUGCGUGUGUCUGAACAAAGAUGUAGAUAGUGAUCUUCGAUAGGUUUCUUUUCACCAGACAUCGACUCUCCUGCCUUUGGAAAAGAUUAAGAUGAAAUGUUUCGAAUCUUUGGUUGAAGAAAACAUUCAAAACUCGAUGAGAAUCGAAGUUAAGAAAGAUGGAAAAUUAAUGAUGAAAAACGCAGAUCUGAACAAAAGGAGGUAACUUGUAACCUGAGGAGGAUGCCUCCUUUUAUACGACUAAACUAAAUCAGAAUUUCCUAGAAUCUUGGCUUGGAACUCUAAGUUCUUGUUCCGCGUUCUUAUCGUUCACGUUCCAUGGAAAGUGGAGCGGACUAAGUCAAGUGUUUUAGAUUCUGUUAGGAGUCUUGCGGGAAAGUCUGAACCGAGCGCCCAAUCCACGGGAGUAGAAUACUCAGAAAGUCUGACUAGGUUGCUCGUCCUCUCCUUUGCACCAGGGGUUGUAUCUCUGCUUCUUAAAAGAUUGUUCUUGAUGUAUCAUAGAGUUGAAUUAGAGUACUUGAAGCGAUGGUCCUCACGGAAGAACACCAUUUUGCCUUGUUCAUUCCUGAAGACCACCUCGUGUUUUGGCUCCACCAACACCGUUCAAGAGGGGAUAUGCUUAAUGCCUUCAAAGUCUUCGUUAGGCGCACUGAGACUAAGCUGGUUUAUCCCCAGAUCCAUAGCAAUUUGGAAGUCGAGCUUACUACGGUAGUCAAGAAGGUCCGUCAUUGUUUGCCGUAUCACGGAGUUAGCCAGAGCAUACUUCAUAACUUUGUCUCGCUUGUGGUCCGUGAAGAAAUACAGAGACAGCAGAUCCCAGGGAUUCAGAUUUAUAAGAUCGCAAUCCGUGAAGGUGAAGAUAUGCCCAUGGAAUCUUUCUACUGUAUACUCGUGGAAGACUGUCCGAUUGUGGGCAAAGGUUGUAAUAACCGGGUCCUGGUUAUCACAUGAGAUAAUUAAUACGUGAUUAUUUAUUACGUGCUUAUGUGAUGGC